GCCUGGGUGGCUCAGUCGGUUAAGCAUCUGACUUUGGCUCAGGUCAUGAUCUCACGGUCCGUGAGUUCGAGCCCCACGUCGGGCU
rnacentral:tRNA from 1 species